rnacentral:lncRNA from 1 species
AGCAGCCACACAACAUAGGAAUCAAUUCUUUUAAUUGUAGAUAGCUCAGUUAUGUAUAGACAAUCCUAACUGUACAGUGAUGACUUAGCCACACUUGUACGAAAAUCUGACAGACAUGUAUCGGUAUAUUCAACAUGCAUAGUCAAUGAUGUGUGGUUCUUAACGAAAAAUUGCGAUUGCGAUCGAACCACACAGAAUUGUGGAAUGAGCAUGG